rnacentral:rRNA from 1 species
GACGAACGCUGGCGGCGUGCCUAAUACAUGCAAGUUGAGCGCUGAAGGUUGGUACUUGUACCAACUGGAUGAGCAGCAAACGGGUGAGUAACGCGUGGGGAAUCUGCCUUUGAGCGGGGGACAACAUUUGGAAACGAAUGCUAAUACCGCAUAAAAACUUUAAACACAAGUUUUAAGUUUGAAAGAUGCAAUUGCAUUACUCAAAGAUGAUCCCGCGUUGUAUUAGCUAGUUGGUGAGGUAAAGGCUCACCAAGGCGAUGAUACAUAGCCGACCUGAGAGGGUGAUCGGCCACAUUGGGACUGAGACACGGCCCAAACGCCUACGGGAGGCAGCAGUAGGGAAUCUUCGGCAAUGGACGAAAGUCUGACCGAGCAACGCCGCGUGAGCGAAGAAGGUUUUCGGAUCGUAAAACUCUGUUGGUAGAGAAGAACGUUGGUGAGAGUGGAAAGCUCAUCAAGUGACGGUAACUACCCAGAAAGGGACGGCUAACUACGUG